rnacentral:pre_miRNA from 1 species
GGUUUUUAGAGGCUGAAGCUGCCAGCAUGAUCUGGUAAUUGCUACAUACGACAUACACACAUAUACUAGUUAAUUUCCACACCUAUAAAAGUUUUUUUCCUACAACUUAAAGCUUUUUUCCUUCCUCUUUUUAAUAAUUAGUGAUCUCUAGUUCUUUGCCUACUUGUAAUAUAUAUUUACGGUGGAUUCAUGCAUGUGUGUAUAUAUAUACAUAGUUUACAUGCAUGCAUUUUGUGUAUGUGUGUGUGUAUAGAUAGUAGUACUAGGUCAUCCUGCAGCUUCAGUCACUAAAUCA